GACGAACGCUGGCGGCGCGCUUAACACAUGCAAGUCGAGCGAGAACCAGGGCUUCGGCCCUGGGGACAGCGGCGAACGGGUGAGUAACACGUGGAUAACCUGCCCUCGGCACCGGGAUAGCCCGGGGAAACGUACGGAUUAAUACCGGAUAGCCCUUCCGACUCUCGAGUCGGUCCGAAAAGGUAGCUUCGGCCUCUGGCCGAGGAUGGGUCCGCGGCGGAUUAGCUUGUUGGGUGGGGUAACGGGCCGUACCAACGGCUCCGANCCGUAGCUGGUCUGAGAGGACGAUCAGCCACACUGGGACUGAGACACGGCCCAGACUCCUACGGGAGGCAGCAGUGGGGAAUAUUGGACAAUGGGCGCAAGCCUGAUCCAGCAAUGCCGCGU
rnacentral:rRNA from 1 species